rnacentral:rRNA from 1 species
UAGGGAAUCUUCGGCCAUGGACGAAAGUCUGACCGAGCAACGCCGCGUGAGUGAAGAAGGUUUUCGGAUCGUAAAACUCUGUUGUUAGAGAAGAACAAGGACGUUAGUAACUGAACGUCCCCUGACGGUAUCUAACCAGAAAGCCACGGCUAACUACGUGCCAGCAGCCGCGGUAAUACGUAGGUGGCAAGCGUUGUCCGGAUUUAUUGGGCGUAAAGCGAGCGCAGGCGGUUUCUUAAGUCUGAUGUGAAAGCCCCCGGCUCAACCGGGGAGGGUCAUUGGAAACUGGGAGACAUGAGUGCAGAAGAGGGGAGUGGAAUUCCAUGUGUAGCGGAGAAAUGCGUAGAUAUAUGGAGGAACACAAGUGGCGAAGGCGGCUCUCUGGUCUGUAACUGACGAUGAGGCUCGAAAGCGUGGGGAGCAAACAGG